rnacentral:rRNA from 1 species
GGGGACCCGCAAGCGGUGGAUGAUGUGGAUUAAUUCGAUGCAACGCGAAAAACCUUACCUACCCUUGACAUGUACGGAAGACCGAAGAGAUUUGGUUGUGCUCGAAAGAGAACCGUAACACAGGUGCUGCAUGGCUGUCGUCAGCUCGUGUCGUGAGAUGUUGGGUUAAGUCCCGCAACGAGCGCAACCCUUGUCAUUAGUUGCUACAUUUAGUUGAGCACUCUAAUGAGACUGCCGGUGACAAACCGGAGGAAGGUGGGGAUGACGUCAAGUCCUCAUGGCCCUUAUGGGUAGGGCUUCACACGUCAUACAAUGGUACAUACAGAGGGCCGCCAACCCGCGAGGGGGAGCUAAUCCCAGAAAGUGUAUCGUAGUCCGGAUCGCAGUCUGCAACUCGACUGCGUGAAGUUGGAAUCGCUAGUAAUCGCGGAUCAGCAUGUCGCGGUGAAUACGUUCCCGGGUCUUGUACACACC